UACGGGGGGAGCAAGCGUUGUUCGGAUUUACUGGGCGUAAAGGGCGGGUAGGCGGCCACCGCAAGUCAGUUGUGAAAUCUCCGGGCUUAACCCGGAAAGGUCAACUGAUACUGCGGGGCUAGAGUGCAGAAGGGGCAACUGGAAUUCUCGGUGUAGCGGUGAAAUGCGUAGAUAUCUGAAAGAACACCAGUGGCGAAGGCGGUCAACUGGCUUUUAACUGACGCUCAGGCACGAAAGCGUGGGUAGCGAACAGG
rnacentral:rRNA from 1 species